rnacentral:rRNA from 1 species
GUGAACGCUGGCGGUAGGCCUAACACAUGCAAGUCGAACGGCAACACAGUAAGAUCUUGCUCUUACGGGUGGCGAGUGGCGGACGGGUGAGGAAUACAUCGGAAUCUACUUUUUCGUGGGGGAUUACGUAGGGAAACUUACGCUCAUACCGCAUACGACUUACGGGUGAAAGCAGGGGAUCUUCGGACCUUGCGCGAUUGAAUGACCCGAUGUCGGAUUAGCUAGUUGGCGGGGUAAAGGCCCACCAAGGCGACGAUCCGUAGCUGGUGUGAGAGGAUGAUCAGCCACACUGGAACUGAGACACGGUCCAGACUCCUACGGGAGGCAGCAGUGGGGAAUAUUAGACAGUGGGCGCAAGCAUGAUCCAGCCAUACCGCGUCGGUGAAGAAGGCCUUCGGGUUGUAAAGCCCUUUUGUUGGGAGAGAAAAGCAGCAGGUUAAUACCCCGCGGUUCUGACGGUACCCAAAGAAUAAGCACCGGCUAACUUCGUG